rnacentral:piRNA from 1 species
UCCAUUGCCUCAGAGCAUUCACUAAUGCCAGC